AGCAUUUCUGGACCCACUCUGGGCCAAGGCGAGCUCACUGCCCUGAAAGGACAGUCCCAGGCCUGGCAGCAUUUACCAUAGGCUGACUGAAGAGCCCUUGGCCCUUGAAUAAACAUCAGCAGCAGCCAGGCAGUAUUUGCUGCAGGCCUGGGGUGGUAGUAGCCAUGGCGAGAGGCUCCUCCUAUUGUGGAAUGGGAAGGGAAGAGUGGGAGGGAUUUCGUCUUGUGACAUUGUGUGCCCACUCAGACACUGUAGAACAGUGUUAGGUAGAUUCCAGAGGUUUCUGACUCCAGGACCUUGCUCCCGGGUGGCAUCCCUGGACCUGCCUAGGGCCUAAGAAAACUUGCCAACCUGAAGAGAAGGACACAGGGCUGGCUGGCUUUGCCACCUGCUGAUUGUAGAGGCUGGGGACUUUCAGCAAACACAGAGCUUUGAUGCAUCUCCCCUGAAUUUAGAAAAUAGGAUGCAUGUUCCCUCCGGGAUAGGGUCUAUGUAUAGCAUGGCAACUUAUACAGUUGUAUUUAGUACGGAUGGAGAUGGAAUUCUAACCAAGAGAACAUGAAGACGUGAACUAUAUUGAAGUCCCUAUGCAAAUCUUCAUAAUGCCCAGGGGACUCUAUCUCAACUUCAAGAUGCAAACCUUUACAAGCAUGCAGCUGUUCCAGACAUCAAUAAUGCAUGCACAGUUCAUAAUCAUACCAGUUAUGUAACCUGUCGUGCAAGCCACAUCUUCCAAGGCAUGUAUCCCCAGAGGACAGACAAAGCUAUGCACAGAGAACCUGCUGUUUCUUAAGUAUUUCCACUUCCCAUAAAUUUACAAUUAAUAUUAAUCCUGAUCUUGAAAAUAAGCUGUGAACCAAAGCAAAUCACCUUAAAAGCAGAUUUUCAUUAAUGAGGAGAUUUACUGUAAGUUUCUCAAAGCCUACCUUUCUUACUUGGCUUUUGUGAGAAAUUGCAAAUCUUUCCCUGGUGAGAUCCAUACCAUGACUGCUGAUACAUGGUCGAGAGCACUUUUGUACUUAAUUGGUGCAGAAAUACAAGUAAAGGCAGAGCUGUGUUCACUUCCUCCUUCAUUUCCUCUCUAUUCCUUUUCUGUGAUGUCACAUACUGAUACAGCAUCUACACAUAGCCAUGUGUCUAACAAACAUAUCUGCUCAAGGCUUAGUCAAUCUUUGACCUUCCUCCUUCCUCAUGCAUACCUUAAGCAUUAAUUUAAGGUCAAGCACAUUUACAGGUUCCCCAGCAUGCCCUUUUCCAUCUUUUGCUCCUCUAUCCUUUCUCAUUGUCCUUGGUCAGACUUGCUUGAACUAUGUUUCUCAGAAAGGCAGAUACGCUUACCCAUGGCUCUAGCAAAAAUUCCUUUUUCAUUUUUCCAUGGGUGCUGCAGUUAUUUUAAACUUUGGUAAAAAUAAGUGUAUCUAGCACCCUGUUGCCCAAAACAUCUCAGAUGGGCUAAUGGAGUUUUAUUAUGGAGGAAAAAACCAAAGUCACAUAUAAAGUACACGUACAAAUAAAAGCAUAAUCACAUUCAUUUCUUUUGUUUAUUUUUCCUCUAUUUACUCAUUUUUAUAUAAAAAGAUAAUAGAGACAGCAUUAUACAGCAGAGACAAGUGUAACCUAACCCCAUGUAUAUAUAUAUAUAUAUAUAUUUUUAAAUUAUACUUUAAGUUCUGGGAUACAUGUGCAGAACGUGCA
rnacentral:lncRNA from 1 species